UUAUUUCUCGCAUGAGAAUAAAAGGAAAGGUCAGCCGAACUAAGAUGAGCUCGCGUUCUAUCAGCUAGUUGGUGAGGUAAAAGCUUACCAAGGCUACGACGGAUAGCUGGUCUGAGAGGACGAUCAGCCACACUGGGACUGAGACACGGCCCAGACUCCUACGGGAGGCUGCAGCAGGGAAUAUUGUGCAAUGAACGAAAGUUUGACACAGCGACACCGCGUGUGGGAUGACGGAUCUAGGUUUGUAAACCACUUUCAGGAGGGAAGAAAAUGACGGUACCUCCACAAGAAGCCCCGGCCAACUACGUGCCAGCAGCCGCGGUAAUACGUAGGGGGCGAGCGUUGUCCGGAUUUAUUGGGCGUAAAGAGCUCGUAGGCGGUUCAACAAGUCGGUCGUGAAAGUUCAGGGCUCAACCCUGAAAUGUCGAUCGAUACUGUUGUGACUAGGAUACGGUAGAGGUGAGUGGAAUUCCGAGUGUAGCGGUGAAAUGCGUAGAUAUUCGGAGGAACACCAAUUGCGAAGGCAGCUCACUGGGCCGCUAUCGACGCUGAGGAGCGAAAGCUAGGGGAGCAAACAGGAUUAGAUACCCUGGUAGUCCUAGCUGUAAACGAUGGAUACUAGACGUAGGAACUGGAUUGACGGUUUCUGUGUCGCAGCUAACGCGUUAAGUAUCCCGCCUGGGGAGUACGGUCGCAAGACUAAAACUCAAAGGAAUUGACGGGACCCCGCACAAGCGGCGGAGCAUGCGGCUUAAUUCGAUGAUACCCGUAGAACCUUACCUGGACUUGACAUAUAGGGUCAAGCUAUAGAGAUAUAGUGUGCAUUAGCGCCCUAUACAGGUGGUGCAUGGCUGUCGUCAGCUCGUGUCGUGAGAUGUU
rnacentral:rRNA from 1 species